GCCGCAGUAUUUUAACUGUGCAAAGGUAGCAUAAUCAUUUGUCUUUUAAUUGGGGACUAGUAUGAAUGAUUGGAUGAGAAAUAUUCUUUGUUUGUUUUAUUUUAAAUAAUUUUCUUUUUUAGUUAAAAAGCUGAAAUGAUUUUAUUAGACGAGAAGACCCUAUAGAACUUUACUUAAUUGUAUAUUAUUAUAAUUUUGGUUGUUCAUUUUUAUUAAUUUACAUUUAAGUUUUGUUGGGGUGACAGUUAAAUUUUAAAAACUUUAUUUUAUAAAUGUUCAUUAGUUUAUGAUUUUUUUGAUCCAAUUUUAUUGAUUGUAAGAUUAAGUUACCUUAGGGAUAACAGCGUAAUUUUUUUGGAGAGUUCUUAUUAAUAAAAAAGUUUGCGACCUCGAUGUUGGAUUAAA
rnacentral:rRNA from 1 species